AGUUUGGCAAUAGGAUAUUGAACUGAGAGUGAAAGCUUAUAGCAUUGUGUACCAUCGUUUUUUUCCAAGUCUUUUUUUAUUAAAAAAAAAAAAAGCAUACCUUUUUUCAAUACUUGAUUUCUUAGCAAGUAUAACUUGAACUUCAACCUUUUGUUCUAAAAAUUCAGGGAUAUUUCAGCUCAUGUUCUCCUUAUGCCAACAUGUCACCUGUGUUUAUGUAAAAUUGUUGUAGGUUAAUAAAUAUAUUCUUUUUCAGGGAUUUAACCCUUUUAUUUUGAAUCCCUCCUAUUUUACUUGUAUAUGUCCUGAUGUAACUAAAACUAAUUUUGUAAAUCUGUUGGCUCUUUUUAUUGUAAAGAAAAGCAUUUUAAGAGUUUGGAGAAUCUUUUGACUGUUUCAAGCAGAAAAAAAAAUUACAUGAAAAUAGAAUGCACUGAGCUGAUAAAGGGAAAAUUGUAAGGCAGGAGUUUGGCAAGUGACUGUUGGCUAGAGUCCUUAACUCUCUAAAUAAAGAUGUUUUGCUCCUGUACCCAGUACAGGCACAGAUCCAUGAGGACUUCUCUACACAAACAAAACACUUAGGGGGAUGGUGUGCAAUCAGCUGUACAAUUAUGUCUUAGUCUGUGUACAUUUUUGCUUACUAACAUUUCAAAUAAAUUCUUAACAGAGGCCUUUGAGUUUUAUUGGUCAAAUCUUUAUAACUUGGCUUUUGUCUUUUAAAAAAAUGUCUCCAGUUUUUGGCUGUAACCAAUUUACAGGCAUUUCAAGAACAUUUGUUUUGUAUUUGUCAGACUGCAUGAUUUUAAUAUUUUGCAUAUACCGUAUAUCUCACCCCAAAUAUUUGAUCACUUCACGCACAUUUGUUGGUUUUGAGUCAGCCAUCCCGAUAUGAGUGAAUAUUUGGUUUCUGUAUCCUCCACUGUCAUUUGUCAAACUGCUGGCCAACAAGAGCAGGAAGUAUAGUUUGGGGGGUUGAGGUAGGGAGGAAGAGAGGAAAUUGAGUGGCAUAUUGUAAAUAUCAGAUCUAUAAUUGUAAAUAUCAAACCUGCCUCAGAAUGAAUGGAAAGCAGAUCUCCAAUUUGCUUAUAUAGGAAUAUCAGGUUGACUAUAUAGCCAUACUUGAAAAUGCUUCUGAGUGGUGUCAACUUUACUUGAAUGAAUUUUUCAUCUUGAUUGACGCACAGUGGUGUACAGUUCACUUCUAAAGCUAGUGGUUAACUUGUGUAGGAAACUUUUGCAGUUUGACACUAAUAUAAUGAAUUCUGUGUGCAUUUUUCUACGCUUUUUUAAAAAACAGUUUCAUUUUCAUGAGAUGUUUGGUUGUCUAUAAAAAUCUGAGGAUGGUUAUAAAUACUGUAAGUAUUGUAAUGUUAUGAAUGCAGGUUAUUUGAAAGCGUUUAUUAUUAUAUCAUUCCUGAUAACGCUAUGUGAGUGUUUUUAAUAAAAUUUAUAUUUAUUUAAUG
rnacentral:lncRNA from 1 species